AUUGAACGCUGGCGGCAGGCCUAACACAUGCAAGUCGAACGGUAACAGGAAGCAGCUUGCUGCUUCGCUGACGAGUGGCGGACGGGUGAGUAAUGUCUGGGAAACUGCCUGAUGGAGGGGGAUAACUACUGGAAACGGUAGCUAAUACCGCAUAACGUCGCAAGACCAAAGAGGGGGACUUUAGGGCCUCUUGCCAUCGGAUGUGCCCAGAUGGGAUUAGCUAGUAGGUGGGGUAACGGCUCACCUAGGCGACGAUCCCUAGCUGGUCUGAGAGGAUGACCAGCCACACUGGAACUGAGACACGGUCCAGACUCCUACGGGAGGCAGCAGUAGGGAAUAUUGCACAAUGGGCGCAAGCCUGAUGCAGCCAUGCCGCGUGUAUGAAGAAGGCCUUCGGGUUGUAAAGUACUUUCAGCGGGGAGGAAGGGAGUAAAGUUAAUACCUUCGCUCAUUGACGUUACCCGCAGAAGAAGCACCGGCUAACUCCGUG
rnacentral:rRNA from 1 species